CAUAUACCUUAUAGUAUAUGUGUAUAUUCACAUGUAUAUGUAUAUCGCACCAGUACAUGUUCAUAUUUAAAAUAAGAUGUCCUUAAAUACUUAUAUGUUGACUGUAACUCAUGAAAACAUAACACUUGAUGCUCAUCUAACUGAAAUGCAGGCUUUCUUUGAAUCUAUCAUGCAUGUCAACUGAUUUUGUUACAAUCUUGAUUACCAAUUACACAUAUCAUUGUAACUAAAAUUACUAAACUUUGAAUGCACUUCUCCCAAUUCCAAUAAUUGCAUUGGUUAGCACAUUUCCUUUUAUUUUAUGGCUGUCAUCAUUUUCUAGAUGCAAUGAAUAAGAAUACCCAUCCAUUGCCUAAAAACUAUUUACAAAUUGAAGCUUCUGGGAGAAGGAAAAUUAGAUUUCUUCAGUGGAAUAACAGUAGCCAUAUCAACCAACAUCCACUCAGUCCCCAUAUUCAGUAGCAUUCGGUCAAUACAAAUAGGAUGCCAUGCCAUCGGUGGCUUCUUCUUCUUCUUCUUCUUCUUCUUCUUCUUCUUCUUCUUCUUCUUCUUCUUCUACUAUUUUUCUCCAUUUUUCUCAUUUGAAGAGAACGGAAGGACACAAAGUUGGAUGAGAAGAGAUUGUGGAGGAUGUUUGAAGAGUAUUGAAACAAGACUAAAUAUUUGUUUUUAAAAAUUCAGAAGAUUCAUUUCAUCUGACACAAACUAGCAAUGAAACUCACAUAAAACAAGAGUAACAACAAGAAUAGUGCCAAUCAAAAUAAACUGAUGAUCUGGAGUCAUGUUACAUUUAAAUCUCAGCUUCAUGAUUCCCAAGACCCAGGAGUAUGUCAUCUUCAUCUGAUGAUACAAGUAGAACCCAAGAUCACCAGAGAAAAAGAAGCAAAUGAAAACAUCAAGAACCAGACAAAGCAACAUAUCAAUAUUAAAUACCCUAGUAGAAGCUCCAAACAUAUUGAAGUAUGCUGUGCAGAAGACUCAAGUAACUGAGCUUAAUGUAAAAUUCUGGUGUACAGAAAAUGAAAACAAAUAGUAGACUGUCUAGUGGCAUCUGUGUCUUUCUCAUCCAAAAAUCAAGGAGAGGGGCCUUCUACUUAAGAGAGACCAAUGUUUUUAAAUUAACAAAAUAUUAUUUUAUUUCAUGUAUAUAAAUUUUUGUCCUUCAUGUAUGCCUGUGCACCAAGUGUGUGCUGAUGCCUGUGGAGGCCAGAAUAAUGCAAAGCAUCACCAGAAUUGUGCAUUCCAGUGGUGAUGACAUCCCUGGUGCAGGUGGGAUAUUGACCUAGUGUCCUUUGGAAGAGCAACUGGUGCUCUUAUUCACUAAGGCAUCUUUACAGUCCAGGGAGAGACAAAUGUUCCUAUACUAGAGCACUGUUGUUUCCUGUUGAGUCAUAUCAAAUCAGGUGAGUCAUACCUGGUUGUACCAGAAACAAGGUAUUGCCAAGCAUCAUCUUGUGAAUUUGAUUUCUGAUUAAGUGGCACAGAAGUACAUCAGCAAGAUUAUUUAUUCUGAAUAGUAAAACACAAUGAUGUUGCAGUACUCGAUAGGUCAUUGAGAAAUGUUGUGAUAAUGAUAAACUAAAAAUAUUCAUAAAAGUCACAACUUUGGAGUCCAUUAUUCACAAAAGGAAAUGCAGCUUAGCUAUGAUAAUCUUGUUUCUAGUUAGUAAGCUGUACACAUCUCUCAGGCAUUGUGGGAUUGCUUUUAGUAUAUUAUAGGUAAAUUGCCAGUAUCGUGUAUAAAAAGUUGUCUAUUCCAAUUCACUAACUUAAGUAGGUAAGUCAAUCAUUUUACCUUAGAUUUAAUCUGGACAUAAAGACAUACUCCUCUAAAGCCUGGGAGGAAGAAGUGCUAAUUGUCUGUGUGUGCCUGAGAAUGAAUUGUGAGUGCUCAGGUGAGUUCUGCACCUGUUUCCAAUAUUUGUGACAAAUGCACAUGGAAAAUUCCAUUUUUUCCAGAUGGGACUCCAAAAGCAGCUGGAGAUUUAUAAGUGCUUAGGCAAAAGAAAAGAAAAUAUUUACACUUGUACAAUGCAAGCAGAGACAAUAUUCAACUUCAGUUAAUGAAAUAAAUCCCACAAUAUGUGUAAGGCA
rnacentral:lncRNA from 1 species